rnacentral:sRNA from 1 species
CAAAAACAGUGCAGGCGUCUGUGACCCCAGCGCUGUCGUGGCAGCGUUGGAAAGGAGUUGGAGGAUGGCCGGCUCCUGCCAGAGUUCAACAUGGCGGAGC